rnacentral:rRNA from 1 species
AUGAACGCUGGCGGCGUGCCUAAUACAUGCAAGUCGAGCGAACAGACGAGGAGCUUGCUCCUCUGACGUUAGCGGCGGACGGGUGAGUAACACGUGGAUAACCUACUUAUAAGACUGGGAUAAUUUCGGGAAACCGGAGCUAAUACCGGAUAAUAUAUUGAACCGCAUGGUUCAAUAGUGAAAGACGGUUUUGCUGUCACUUAUAGAUGGAUCCGCGCCGCAUUAGCUAGUUGGUAAGGUAACGGCUUACCAAGGCGACGAUGCGUAGCCGACCUGAGAGGGUGAUCGGCCACACUGGAACUGAGACACGGUCCAGACUCCUACGGGAGGCAGCAGUAGGGAAUCUUCCGCAAUGGGCGAAAGCCUGACGGAGCAACGCCGCGUGAGUGAUGAAGGUCUUCGGAUCGUAAAACUCUGUUAUUAGGGAAGAACAAAUGUGUAAGUAACUAUGCACGUCUUGACGGUACCUAAUCAGAAAGCCACGGCUAACUACGUG